rnacentral:rRNA from 1 species
GAUGAACGCUGGCGGCGUGCUUAACACAUGCAAGUCGAACGGAAAGGCCCAAGCUUGCUUGGGUACUCGAGUGGCGAACGGGUGAGUAACACGUGGGUGAUCUGCCCUGCACUUCGGGAUAAGCCUGGGAAACUGGGUCUAAUACCGGAUAGGACCACAUUUUGGAUGGUGUGGUGGAAAGUUUUUCGGUGUGGGAUGAGCUCGCGGCCUAUCAGCUUGUUGGUGGGGUAAUGGCCUACCAAGGCGUCGACGGGUAGCCGGCCUGAGAGGGUGUACGGCCACAUUGGGACUGAGAUACGGCCCAGACUCCUACGGGAGGCAGCAGUGGGGAAUAUUGCACAAUGGGCGCAAGCCUGAUGCAGCGACGCCGCGUGGGGGAUGACGGCCUUCGGGUUGUAAACUCCUUUCGCUAGGGACGAAGCGUUAUGUGACGGUACCUGGAGAAGAAGCACCGGCUAACUACGUG